rnacentral:rRNA from 1 species
CCUACGGGAGGCAGCAGUGAGGAAUAUUGGUCAAUGGUCGGGAGACUGAACCAGCCAAGCCGCGUGAGGGAUGAAGGUACAGAGUAUCGUAAACCUCUUUUGUCAGGGAACAAAGGCGGGGACGUGUCCCCGGAUGAGUGUACCUGAAGAAAAAGCAUCGGCUAACUCCGUGCCAGCAGCCGCGGUAAUACGGAGGAUGCGAGCGUUAUCCGGAUUUAUUGGGUUUAAAGGGUGGGAGGUCGGUCAGUUAAGUCAGCGGGCAAAGCCCGGGGCUCAACCCCAUCCAGCCGUUGAAACUGGGGAUCUAGAGUAUGCGAGAGGUAUGCGGAAUGCGUGGUGUAGCGGUAAAAUGCAUAGAUAUCACGCAGAACCCUGAUUGCGAAGGCAGCAUACCGGUGCACAACUGACGCUCAGGCACGAAAGCGUGGGUAUCGAACAGGAUUAGAUACCCUAGUAGUC